rnacentral:rRNA from 1 species
GGGGGCCCGCACAAGCGGCGGAGCAUGCGGAUUAAUUCGAUGCAACGCGAAGAACCUUACCAAGGCUUGACAUAUACGAGAACGGGCCAGAAAUGGUCAACUCUUUGGACACUCGUAAACAGGUGGUGCAUGGUUGUCGUCAGCUCGUGUCGUGAGAUGUUGGGUUAAGUCCCGCAACGAGCGCAACCCUCGUUCUAUGUUGCCAGCACGUAAUGGUGGGAACUCAUGGGAUACUGCCGGGGUCAACUCGGAGGAAGGUGGGGAUGACGUCAAAUCAUCAUGCCCCUUAUGUCUUGGGCUUCACGCAUGCUACAAUGGCCAGUACAAAGGGCUGCAAUACCGUAAGGUGGAGCGAAUCCCAAAAAGCUGGUCCCAGUUCGGAUUGAGGUCUGCAACUCGACCUCAUGAAGUCGGAGUCGCUAGUAAUCGCAGAUCA